rnacentral:rRNA from 1 species
UGCCAGCCGCCGCGGUAAUACGGAGGGUGCAAGCGUUGUUCGGAAUUAUUGGGCGUAAAGCGUGCGUAGGCGGACUGUUAAGUCUGAUGUGAAAUCCCGCGGCUCAACCGCGGACGUGCAUUGGAUACUGGCAGUCUUGAGUCCUGGAGAGGAGAGCGGAAUUCCUAGUGUAGAGGUGAAAUUCGUAGAUGUUAGGAGGAACACCAGUGGCGAAAGCGGCUCUCUGGGCUGUAACUGACGCUGAGGAGCGAAAGCAUGGGGAGCGAACAGGAUUAGAUA